UUAAGCGACUAAGCGUACACGGUGGAUGCCCUGGCAGUCAGAGGCGAUGAAGGACGUGCUAAUCUGCGAUAAGCGUCGGUGAGGUGAUAUGAACCGUUAUAACCGGCGAUUUCCGAAUGGGGAAACCCAGUGUGUUUCGACACACUAUCAUUAACUGAAUCCAUAGGUUAAUGAGGCGAACCGGGGGAACUGAAACAUCUAAGUACCCCGAGGAAAAGAAAUCAACCGAGAUUCCCCCAGUAGCGGCGAGCGAACGGGGAGGAGCCCAGAGCCUGAAUCAGUGUGUGUGUUAGUGGAAGCGUCUGGAAAGGCGCGCGAUACAGGGUGACAGCCCCGUACACAAAAAUGCACAUAUUGUGAGCUCGAUGAGUAGGGCGGGACACGUGGUAUCCUGUCUGAAUAUGGGGGGACCAUCCUCCAAGGCUAAAUACUCCUGACUGACCGAUAGUGAACCAGUACCGUGAGGGAAAGGCGAAAAGAACCCCGGCGAGGGGAGUGAAAAAGAACCUGAAACCGUGUACGUACAAGCAGUGGGAGCCUCUUUAUGGGGUGACUGCGUACCUUUUGUAUAAUGGGUCAGCGACUUAUAUUCUGUAGCAAGGUUAACCGAAUAGGGGAGCCGAAGGGAAACCGAGUCUUAACUGGGCGUUAAGUUGCAGGGUAUAGACCCGAAACCCGGUGAUCUAGCCAUGGGCAGGUUGAAGGUUGGGUAACACUAACUGGAGGACCGAACCGACUAAUGUUGAAAAAUUAGCGGAUGACUUGUGGCUGGGGGUGAAAGGCCAAUCAAACCGGGAGAUAGCUGGUUCUCCCCGAAAGCUAUUUAGGUAGCGCCUCGUGAAUUCAUCUCCGGGGGUAGAGCACUGUUUCGGCAAGGGGGUCAUCCCGACUUACCAACCCGAUGCAAACUGCGAAUACCGGAGAAUGUUAUCACGGGAGACACACGGCGGGUGCUAACGUCCGUCGUGAAGAGGGAAACAACCCAGACCGCCAGCUAAGGUCCCAAAGUCAUGGUUAAGUGGGAAACGAUGUGGGAAGGCCCAGACAGCCAGGAUGUUGGCUUAGAAGCAGCCAUCAUUUAAAGAAAGCGUAAUAGCUCACUGGUCGAGUCGGCCUGCGCGGAAGAUGUAACGGGGCUAAACCAUGCACCGAAGCUGCGGCAGCGACACUAUGUGUUGUUGGGUAGGGGAGCGUUCUGUAAGCCUGUGAAGGUGGCCUGUGAGGGUUGCUGGAGGUAUCAGAAGUGCGAAUGCUGACAUAAGUAACGAUAAAGCGGGUGAAAAGCCCGCUCGCCGGAAGACCAAGGGUUCCUGUCCAACGUUAAUCGGGGCAGGGUGAGUCGACCCCUAAGGCGAGGCCGAAAGGCGUAGUCGAUGGGAAACAGGUUAAUAUUCCUGUACUUGGUGUUACUGCGAAGGGGGGACGGAGAAGGCUAUGUUGGCCGGGCGACGGUUGUCCCGGUUUAAGCGUGUAGGCUGGUUUUCCAGGCAAAUCCGGAAAACCAAGGCUGAGGCGUGAUGACGAGGCACUACGGUGCUGAAGCGACAAAUGCCCUGCUUCCAGGAAAAGCCUCUAAGCAUCAGGUAACAUCAAAUCGUACCCCAAACCGACACAGGUGGUCAGGUAGAGAAUGCCAAGGCGCUUGAGAGAACUCGGGUGAAGGAACUAGGCAAAAUGGUGCCGUAACUUCGGGAGAAGGCACGCUGAUAUGUAGGUGAAGCGACUUGCUCGUGGAGCUGAAAUCAGUCGAAGAUACCAGCUGGCUGCAACUGUUUAUUAAAAACACAGCACUGUGCAAACACGAAAGUGGACGUAUACGGUGUGACGCCUGCCCGGUGCCGGAAGGUUAAUUGAUGGGGUUAGCGGUAACGCGAAGCUCUUGAUCGAAGCCCCGGUAAACGGCGGCCGUAACUAUAACGGUCCUAAGGUAGCGAAAUUCCUUGUCGGGUAAGUUCCGACCUGCACGAAUGGCGUAAUGAUGGCCAGGCUGUCUCCACCCGAGACUCAGUGAAAUUGAACUCGCUGUGAAGAUGCAGUGUACCCGCGGCAAGACGGAAAGACCCCGUGAACCUUUACUAUAGCUUGACACUGAACAUUGAGCCUUGAUGUGUAGGAUAGGUGGGAGGCUUUGAAGUGUGGACGCCAGUCUGCAUGGAGCCGACCUUGAAAUACCACCCUUUAAUGUUUGAUGUUCUAACGUUGGCCCGUAAUCCGGGUUGCGGACAGUGUCUGGUGGGUAGUUUGACUGGGGCGGUCUCCUCCUAAAGAGUAACGGAGGAGCACGAAGGUUGGCUAAUCCUGGUCGGACAUCAGGAGGUUAGUGCAAUGGCAUAAGCCAGCUUGACUGCGAGCGUGACGGCGCGAGCAGGUGCGAAAGCAGGUCAUAGUGAUCCGGUGGUUCUGAAUGGAAGGGCCAUCGCUCAACGGAUAAAAGGUACUCCGGGGAUAACAGGCUGAUACCGCCCAAGAGUUCAUAUCGACGGCGGUGUUUGGCACCUCGAUGUCGGCUCAUCACAUCCUGGGGCUGAAGUAGGUCCCAAGGGUAUGGCUGUUCGCCAUUUAAAGUGGUACGCGAGCUGGGUUUAGAACGUCGUGAGACAGUUCGGUCCCUAUCUGCCGUGGGCGCUGGAGAACUGAGGGGGGCUGCUCCUAGUACGAGAGGACCGGAGUGGACGCAUCACUGGUGUUCGGGUUGUCAUGCCAAUGGCACUGCCCGGUAGCUAAAUGCGGAAGAGAUAAGUGCUGAAAGCAUCUAAGCACGAAACUUGCCCCGAGAUGAGUUCUCCCUGACUCCUUGAGAGUCCUGAAGGAACGUUGAAGACGACGACGUUGAUAGGCCGGGUGUGUAAGCGCAGCGAUGCGUUGAGCUAACCGGUACUAAUGAACCGUGAGGCUUAACCUU
rnacentral:rRNA from 1 species